CAAUCUACCCUCACCUGUCCCUCAGAGUCAGCUCAAGACCCUCACACGGGGCUCGCCACAGUCCUUGCUGCAGAGGAGAACCCAGGGUUACGUGGGUCACAAGUUGAGCAUGGGUCAGUUAUGUGUUAGGAUUUCAAAACAGACAAAUGGUGUCCUGGAAGGUGCUAAUAACAGGGCAUAGGCCAAAGAAGAUAAUUUCUGGGCUUCUGUUUAGCACUUGAGUUUUCUUCCACUUUUGGAAUAGUCCAGUUUGGGGUGACAUGUUUUUAAAAGAAUGGAAAGCUAGAGAGACCUGAUAGAAAAGCCAUGGAGAUGACAGGCAGUUCAGAAAUCCUGAGUCCUGAGAAACGACAGAAGGAAGUUAGGCUGAAAAAAAAAAAGAAAAGAGGAAACAGCGGAAAGGGGAAAUAAAGUAGUCUGCUGAGUAUAUUUUCAGUUGUCUUGAAGUUGAUUAAACUGUUGCCUAUGUCCAGUGCAGGUAUAAAAUUAAGAAGCAAUUACAUCAAUUUGUAACAAGAGAGAUUUACAUUAACAAUUAGAAAAAAAUUAUAGUUAGAAGGGGAAUGCAGUAGUAUGAGGGCAUGCUACCUUCUGUCAUUGUGGAAUUACCUUCAUUGGAAGCUGUUAAGAAAUAAGCAUCUGUCAGGAAUAGCUGGUGCUGGGGAAUGGAGUAAAUGAUACCAGGAAAUCCCUUCCAGCUAUAGAUGUGUAAGUCUUGUUAAUGCUGUCAAAAUUCAGGAAGAAUUAUAUUUACUUUGCUCAGAUGCAAUGACAGAUAUAUAUGACCUUUCCCACCAAUUUAACAAUAUGCCUACCUUUUUUUUUCCCCUAGAGCUUGCAUUGCACAACCAGAGUCAGACAAGUAAAUUGCACUGGAGGCUGGAACCCCCUUGUGCCUGACUGCCAAUGUGCAAGUACCUGUCUUGGACAAGGACCAUGCUGCCUUCCUCUGUGCAUUCUCACUUCUGUCCUGGAUCACUGCACUCAUAAGAACAAAGACAUGGGAUCGAGUGCACCCUCCACAAGUUUGCAGGUGACACCAAGCUGGGUUGUGCAGUUGACACACCUGAAGGACAGGAUGCCAUCCAGAGAGACCUGGACAAGCUUGAGAAGUGAGCCCAUGCAAACCUCAUGAGCUUCAACAAGGCCCUGCACCUGGGUCAGGGCAACUCCCAGUAUCCACACAGGCUGGGGGAUGAAGGGGUUGAGAGCAGCCUUGCCAAGAAGGCCCUUAAGGUGAACGAAAGAUUGGACGUGAGCCAGCAAUGUGUGCUUGCAGCCCAGAAAGCCAGUUGUAUCUCAGGCUGCAUCAAAAGGAACGUGGCCAACAGGUCGAGGGAGGUGAAUCUGUCCCUUUGCUCUGGGAAGACCUGGAGUUCUGCAUCCAGCUCUGGAGCCCUCAGUACAGGGAAGACAUGGACCUGCUGGAGAGGGGCCAGAGGAGGCCACAAAAAUGAUCAGAGGGCUGGAGCCCCUCUCCUAUGAGCACAGGCUGAGAGAGUUGGGGUUGUCCAGCCUGGAAAAGAGACUGGUCUAGGGAGACAUCAUUGCAGCCUUUCAGUGCUUAAAAUGAGCCUAUAAGAAAGAUGGGGACAUCGAUUUUGUAGCAGAGUGAUUCAAACAUUGAAUUAUUUCUCAGAGGAUCGCAAAUUUCUACAUCCCUUGCCCUAUGUUUCUCUUGCGUUGUUGCACCAUCUAGUGGCUACUUGGAGGUUUUGUCUGAAUUAGAAGUUCACGGGCUGCCAAAGUUACAUUACUGGACAGAAACAAAAUUAUACAAGAUCUAAUUAGUUUUAGGUUGGAAGGAAGCCCAACCAUGAAGAUGAACUUCAUGAUGAGCUUUAGGAUUCCUUUAAAGAAAAAUCUGCAACACUGGCCACAUCCAAGCAUUUUUGAAACUUUGGAAUUACUAGCUCAAUCAGAGAGAAGUUACAAAGCUUGCACCUCUCCUCAGGUGACCUUGGGCACCAUUUCUGUUCAUUCCUUUUAAAAGGUAGUGGAGGUAGGGAAUAUCAAUAGUCACAAGCAAGACCACUGUGAGCACACCCCAAAUAUAACUUCCAGAAACUGCCACUACUCUGACAAGAAAUUCAGUUCUUGUGUCGUCUUGGUCCCCAGCUGCUACAGUGGGAACAUCUGUUUUUUGAACAGUAUUAAAGAAGAGCAGCACACAAGACCAACGCCAGAUUUGGAGAAUCCUCUUGACAUCCAUGACUAACCAGUAACCAGCCAGCUACUGGCAGCUGUAGUCACAGUCCCACUGACUGUGGUGAGCUGAGCAUCUUCUACUCCACCCUCAGCAGAAGAAAACACCACAUCAACUAACAGGAAUCUUCCUGUAGCCACCAGGUUCCUCUUCAACAUCUGCAAUAAGAAAAAACAAACAAACAACAAAACAAAAACCCCACACACCUACGAAGCAAAGUAAAAGCCAGACCAAACCCAGUUACAAGCAUACUUCCUAUAACAUACACUGCUGAACCUCAACUGGUCCUGAAGCUCUUACCUCAUAUAGAUGCCUCUGCUUCUCUACCUCAGACACCUCAAAAGCUGCAAACCACUACAGGAACAAAAGAGCAGGAGAACAUCAGAGCAGCCCAGGAGCAGAAUUAUGAGAGGCUGUGGCUCAUAUACCUCAGGCUCCACCCACCACCCUUACCACAAUCACCUGGGCCCUUGCUGGAAAUGACAAUAUCUGCUCUUUUACUAUAUCUAAUGCAACUGCAAUAUGACUGAGUAGGGAUUUAAACUUAAUUUUCCUAAGGCAUAGAUAGAAAAAGAUAGAUGUCAUACUAAGCUGUAUAAAAAUGUAGCUCAUUAAAUGCAGUAACUAUAUUAUUAUUAAAA